UUUUUAAAUUAAAUUUCCAUUCAAUUUGAAAAGUUUUUCAGUUAUUGCAAAAGUAAUUGAUCAAUAAAUGGUGUUUUUAAGUGAUAUUAAUUUGCAAAUGAAACGGGAAAAGCGACAAGCAAAAGCAAUAAGUUGAGGCAACAAUAACCAAUCGAGGGCUUGCCAGCAUAUACGACCAUGGAAUAGUGGGUCCCAGAGUGAGAAUCCUUUUGUUUUUGUGCUCCCCCGUGCUGACAGACAGGCCAGGCCACAAAUCGACAGGCGAAACGGAUGAAAGGGUUGGCUUUCAGUUGAUGGCUUUCGGUUCGUGUAAAAAAUGUCAAAGAAUCCAAGCAGCAUUACUCGUGGAACAGAAUACCUUUCUCCUGGGCGCAGACAAGCAAUUUGUUUCCCGUGUGCUGUUCCCGUGUGCGGCCUUCCCUUUGAAGCACAUCUUUCAUCAUUCACGGGAGCCAAUGAGUCCCUUUUUGUGAAAAAAAGAAAGAUGAUAAUUGGUUUUCUUGAUUAAGUUUUGUUUUCCCUGGAAUGUAAUUCCAUAUAAUUGGACAAAUAUUCGAAAGACAAGAAUAAACAAAGUCAGCUGCUUAUUA